rnacentral:ncRNA from 2 species
GCCGGUGCGAUUCCGGCACAGUCCCGCUACGGUGAACCGUCGCCCAGCGACGGAAGUCCGG